UACGUAGGGGGCAAGCGUUGUCCGGAAUCAUUGGGCGUAAAGCGCGUGUAGGCGGCCCGGUAAGUCCGCUGUGAAAGUCCAGGGCUCAACCCUGGAAUGCCGGUGGAUACUGUCGGGCUCGAGUCCGGAAGAGGCGAGUGGAAUUCCUGGUGUAGCGGUGAAAUGCGCAGAUAUCAGGAGGAACACCGAUGGCGAAGGCAGCUCGCUGGGACGGUACUGACGCUGAGACGCGAAAGCGUGGGGAGAAACAGG
rnacentral:rRNA from 1 species